UGCGGGACACAUGGUUCCAAUGGACCAGCCAGAAGCUGCGUUGAAAAUGUUGAAGAGAUGGAUGGAGAAUUCGCUUAGUGGAGGAGAUGAUGAUGAUGUGGCGACUACUAUUACAGAAGGAGAUGAUCUGGUUGCUCAGAUGUGAUCUCAUCUUCUUUCCAAUUGCAGGAAAACAUAAAUAGCAGCAAACAUUGUGGACUGUGUUGUGUACACGCUUGAAAGUUUACUUCUUUAAUUUGAUCUCAAAAGAUAAUUAUAUGUAGGGGUAGUAACAAGUUGAUAUGCCUUGAUGAACAAUAAUAUAAUCUUCAAAUUAAGAACUGGACAGAGUUGCCUUUGUCUAGUGAUCCAGACCAUCCUGAGUAUUCAUCAACCUCUCUCUGAUUCGAGCUCUUUCAAUAUUCAUCAGCCUCCUUCCUCUUCUCGUCUUCUUCCUCCGCCUCUCCCCAGCUUCAUUGUCCACCACCGAAGCCCAAUUCUCCUCCUCCUCCUUCCGCCAUCCCCGUUUCUUCGGCAGAGGUGGUCUCUCUCCGAAGGAGGUAAGGGUGGUGCUGCGAAGGAGGAGUAACGGUAGUAGAAAGUGUCGACCUCUCCAUCGUCGCUAUGGUGAAUCUUCUUCUUUCUUCUUCUUAUUCGUCUGCACCAUCUCCACUUCCUUACACAAUUGCUUUACUAGUUUGCUUUCGUAUUCGAAUUUGAAUUUAAGCGACGUCGUUUUAAAGGUUGUAACUGUAGUGGUGGUGGUGAACAUGUUAUUGUCGUCCAAUUAAAAAAAAAAAACGUUAAGUCUAAUUUUUUGUUUGAAGAACUAUUUUCCCACAAUAAAAUUUUGGAGAAUUAGAACUUGGAACGGGAGAAGAACGAGUUUAGAUUUGAUCCCUCCAUAGCUCGAGAUUUUGAUUAACUUCUUCGCCAUCGGAGACGCACUGAUCAGAUUCAAAGGAGGAUUCGCAUCCCAGGUUAGAUUCGCAGCUGAAAACUUUUUCUCUCUAGAUCCACUUCGUGUUUGAUUGCUAUUCUCGAUCUCUGUUUACGCCAAUGUUUACGUAUCCGUUAGAUCUUUCGUUGAACGAGUGAUGAUGACUGAAUGUUUUACAUUGUCCUCUCCUCACUUGAAUCAUGUAUCAUCCGUUCGCUCCAUUAGCUUCUUUUUGAAAUUGAGCUACGUAGCAUCGUCAUUCAUCGUGGAAAUUCUGUUAUCAACGUCCUCUCUAGCUCAUGUAUGUGUUGGUUUUCAACUUUUGAUUUCAGAUACAGAGUGUUUGAUUGGAAUGUGCUGAGGAAUAGUCCACCAGCAUGGGGAUCUUCGACGGUUUGCCUGUUCCCUCAGAUAAAACUGUAAGUCCACUUUCUUCACUCCUAGCUAUAACCUUAUGGUCGCCGUUAAUAGAAGGAGUGUGUUCUUUUAUCCCCUUAGGCAUUUAUAGGGACACAGAGUAUGUUUUGGAGUACAUGUGUGGCUGUGUGUGUGUGUCUAAGUGAUUAUGGUUAUUGCAGUACCUUAGGGAUGAGCUGGCACGAAUAGAUGAGAGCUGGGCUGUUGCACGCUUCGACUCUUUGCCACAUGUGGUCCAUAUCCUCACCUCAAAAGACCGUGAGACUGACGUUCUUUUACUAAAGGAACAAAGUGAUGUUGUCGAGGAGGUUGUGGAUGAAGUUGUGCAUGCUUAUCAUGGUGGUUUCAACAAGGCCAUUCAAAACUACUCACAUCAGGACAAGAGAACUUUAAGGCGACUAAUGAAGUUCCCUUUGUGGUUGAUGGUAAAGAAGCAGGGAAGUUAAAGAGUUAUGGACAACUUAGUUUCCUCAAGGUCAGGCUUUUCUUACAUAAAAUCAGUCUUUCCAUAGUUCUAUAGACUAUAGUAACAAGAAAGAGUUUGAUGACAACAGGUGCACGAUGCGGGACACAUGGUUCCAAUGGACCAGCCAGAAGCUGCGUUGAAAAUGUUGAAGAGAUGGAUGGAGAAUUCGCUUAGUGGAGGAGAUGAUGAUGAUGUGGCGACUACUAUUACAGAAGGAGAUGAUCUGGUUGCUCAGAUGUGAUCUCAUCUUCUUUCCAAUUGCAGGAAAACAUAAAUAGCAGCAAACAUUGUGGACUGUGUUGUGUACACGCUUGAAAGUUUACUUCUUUAAUUUGAUCUCAAAAGAUAAUUAUAUGUAGGGGUAGUAACAAGUUGAUAUGCCUUGAUGAACAAUAAUAUAAUCUUCAAAUUAAGAACUGGACAGAGUUGCCUUUGUCUAGUGAUCCAGACCA
rnacentral:lncRNA from 1 species